UGUGUGUUGAAAUGCCCGCCCCUCUUCUUUAAAAAGACAUAAUAUGUCAGUGACUGCAUUUCAUCAGACCAGGAUCUGUGCUAAACGUGCAAAAAUGAAAACUUUGGCUCUGGUGCUGGUAUUUUGUGCCUUUUUCUCCUUAAGUGAUUCUGCUUGUUUCUUUCAACGUUUAAAACCGGGGGAAAAAUAUUGUGUUGAUGGUUAUGAUAACUCCAAGCAUCCAAUUGGAAGUACUUGGACGAACGGCGCAUGUAUCAGAUGUAUCUGCUCCCCUGGCCAAAUGGAGUGCUGUUACAAGUAAGACACUUAACAACCCAACUAAUGUUGAAA